rnacentral:tRNA from 1 species
GCCCGGUUAGCUCAGUCGGUAGAGCACCAGACUUUCAAUCUGGCUGUCUCGGGUUCGCGCCCAGCAUCGGUCU